GCGUAACGCGUAUGCAACCUACCUCAAUCAGGGGGAUAGCCCGAAGAAAUUCGGAUUAACACCGCAUAAAAACACAGUACAGCAUUGUACAAUGUUCAAAUAUUUAUAGGAUUGAGAUGGGCAUGCGUGUCAUUAGCUAGUUGGCGGGGUAACGGCCCACCAAGGCGACGAUGACUAGGGGAUCUGAGAGGAUGACCCCCCACACUGGUACUGAGACACGGACCAGACUCCUACGGGAGGCAGCAGUAAGGAAUAUUGGUCAAUGGAGGGAACUCUGAACCAGCCAUGCCGCGUGCAGGAAGACAGCCCUCUGGGUCGUAAACUGCUUUUAUUCGGGAAUAAACCUACUUACGUGUAAGUAGCUGAAUGUACCGAAGGAAUAAGGAUCGGCUAACUCCGUGCCAGCAGCCGCGGUAAUACGGAGGAUCCAAGCGUUAUCCG
rnacentral:rRNA from 1 species